GAUGAACGCUGGCGGCGUGCCUAACACAUGCAAGUCGAGCGAAGCACUUAACUUCGAUCCUUCGGGUGAAGAGUUCUGUGACUGAGCGGCGGACGGGUGAGUAACACGUAGGUAACCUGCCUCACACAGGGGGAUAACAGUUAGAAAUGACUGCUAAUACCGCAUAAGCGCACAGGGCCGCAUGGCCCGGUGUGAAAAGCUCCGGCGGUGUGAGAUGGACCUGCGUCUGAUUAGCCAGUUGGCGGGGUAACGGCCCACCAAAGCGACGAUCAGUAGCCGGCCUGAGAGGGUGGACGGCCACAUUGGGACUGAGACACGGCCCAGACUCCUACGGGAGGCAGCAGUGGGGAAUAUUGCACAAUGGGGGAAACCCUGAUGCAGCGACGCCGCGUGAGCGAAGAAGUAUCUCGGUAUGUAAAGCUCUAUCAGCAGGGAAGAAAAUGACGGUAC
rnacentral:rRNA from 1 species